AGAGGUCAUUCAGUCGGGAAGUAAGAAUUGAGCGCAGUGACAGCACUGGCGAUCCAGAGAUAUGAAAUACAAGCGGAGUUUAACAGCAAAAGCGAAGGCAGUGAGAUGGCUGUACUGCUGUAUGACUGUAGACCACAGCUUGUCCUGGCCAGCCUCCUGCUUUCCACUGCAGGUCCCGUUCAGCAGCUGAGGGUUUGAGAGGGAGGGCCUGUGCUCUCCGUGGUGCUGAAGCAGGGGCCCCUGGCGCUGAGAAGGCUCACUGCAAUGAUGUCACCAGGGGGCUGGCCACUGGAUUCUCAGAUCCCGAGGCUCACAUCCUGCACUCCUGCGGCACAUAUGGCUCGAUGAGGGAAAAACAGUAUCACUGGUGCUGCUACAAUGAGACACCAUAUUUCCAGUAACACUUUACUAAAAGCUCUCAUCUAUAAUGCAUUAUAGAUACCUUCAUAACUAUGGUCAGUAGUCAUAACAUAACUAUAUGUUACUAUGGUCAGUACUGUAUAAGAAUGUAUUAAGGAUGAUUUGUACUCCAUUUUAAAGUACCUAUAGUGCAUUAGAGAGCUUGAUGAAGCAUUCAUAAUGCUAAAUAAACAUGCUUAUAAUGUGUUAUGCCUUUUUGUAAUAUAGUCAUGUUUAUAAGGCUUUAUGAAUGCACUAUAAUGUAUUAUAAAUGUAUUAAUAGAUUCUUAUAGACUUGGCAUUCAUAGGAAGUGUCACCACGCCAACCUAAGAGUUCUGUGCUAAAGCACAUUUUGCAGAAGUUUAAGAUUUAGGAACUGGAUGAUAUAUUAUCACCAGCCGGCCAGUUUUGGGUAGUUCAGCUCAAGACCCAUUUUAUGGGUGUCUCGUUGGUUCUGGGAGAGAACAUUAUGAUACCUUCAAUAAGUAAGCUCAUU